rnacentral:rRNA from 1 species
AUUGAACGCUGGCGGCAUGCCUUACACAUGCAAGUCGAACGGUAACAGGUCUUCGGAUGCUGACGAGUGGCGAACGGGUGCGUAAUACAUCGGAACGUGCCCGAUCGUGGGGGAUAACGGAGCGAAAGCUUUGCUAAUACCUCAUACGAUCUACGGAUGAAAGCAGGGGACCGCAAGGCCUUGCGCGGACGGAGCGGCCGAUGGCAGAUUAGGUAGUUGGUGGGAUAAAAGCUUACCAAGCCGACGAUCUGUAGCUGGUCUGAGAGGACGACCAGCCACACUGGGACUGAGACACGGCCCAGACUCCUACGGGAGGCAGCAGUGGGGAAUUUUGGACAAUGGGCGAAAGCCUGAUCCAGCCAUGCCGCGUGCAGGAUGAAGGCCUUCGGGUUGUAAACUGCUUUUGUACGGAACGAAAAGACUCUUUCUAAUAAAGAGGGUCCAUGACGGUACCGUAAGAAUAAGCACCGGCUAACUACGUG